GACGAACGCUGGCGGCGUGCUUAACACAUGCAAGUCGAACGGAAAGGCCCUGCUUUUGUGGGGUGCUCGAGUGGCGAACGGGUGAGUAACACGUGAGUAACCUGCCCUUGACUUUGGGAUAACUUCAGGAAACUGGGGCUAAUACCGGAUAGGAGCUCCUGCUGCAUGGUGGGGGUUGGAAAGUUUCGGCGGUUGGGGAUGGACUCGCGGCUUAUCAGCUUGUUGGCGGGGUAGUGGCUUACCAAGGCUUUGACGGGUAGCCGGCCUGAGAGGGUGACCGGCCACAUUGGGACUGAGAUACGGCCCAGACUCCUACGGGAGGCAGCAGUGGGGAAUAUUGCACAAUGGGCGGAAGCCUGAUGCAGCAACGCCGCGUGCGGGAUGACGGCCUUCGGGUUGUAAACCGCUUUCGCCUGUGACGAAACGUGAGUGACGGUAAUGGGUAAAGAAGCACCGGCUAACUACGUG
rnacentral:rRNA from 1 species